rnacentral:misc_RNA from 1 species
AAGAAAGACCACAUGUCGUUGAGAAAGCGUGGCAAUUACAAAAUUGUUCUCAUCCAUGUAGAUGCCACUGCUGUUCUACUGGGCUCUCAUAGUUUCUGCCUCUAAACCCUUUCCUUUUGAUUAGGGUUUUACAAUUUCUCGUCUAAGGAAUAAGGAGUAGUAGUAGACAAAAUAGCUAUGAUUCGUUUCUUAUCGAGAGCAGCGACUACCGUUGCUCGAACAGCCUGGUUGCAACCAAUCUCCAAUAGACGCUCCCUGUUUGCUCCGUCAUCAACAUCAACAUUGAGAUUGUUUCAUGAGAAAAUCAACGGUCCAAAUGCAAGCCCAGUUGCUCUUCAGAUGAUCGACUACGCUCUCUCUCUUGCCAAAUCUCAGAAAUCAGGCAUUUAUCUUCGACGAUUCUGUUUCUCAGUUUCUUUUUCUUGUUUGGCAUAAAUUUCAUUUUUAUUUUCUUUAUUUUUUUUUCUUUUGUAACUAUAUAAGUAGAUGAAUCUGUCGCGCAAGCUAUGCUGGUACUUGAGCAGUGCCUUUCUUCUCAGUCAAGCGAAGGACAAGAUAUUGUGACCCAAAAUUCAAAGGGGAUGGUCCUACUUGCUAUGUCUAACUUAUUAUUUGGAAGGUUUAGGUUUUUGCAUUUUCUUUUUCUGGUAUUUGUUGUGGUCAUAAAGCCCAGUAAGUUUGAUUCUGGCAUAUUGGGAAAGUCAUGUUGGUCUUAAAUUGAUAUUAUGUAGAGAAAAUUAUGAUGAAGCAAUGGAGAAGCUGCAGAAAAUUCAAGAUUUAGCUCACUCUUCUUUGGGUGUUAAAGGCAGGAAACUAUGUCUUUAAUCCCAAUUUAUUGGUUUUAUGGUUAAAAUUUGUCUGUUGAGUUUUAGUUAUGAAAAGGGUAUUCACUAGAAGAUAACUUCUUCUUUUGUUUUUUAAGUUGCUGCCAUCGAAGCUCUUGUGGGACUCAAUUUAGAGCUGGGGAAUGUAAGUUGCUUUAGGAACUCUUUCCAUGCAUUUUGUACUUUCCCUUUUGUUGUAUAUGAUUUAAAUUUUAUUUGGAGAUUGUUCUCCCUAUAUAGGAUGAUACUUCAUCAGUGCUCGCAGAUAAAUGCUUAGAACUCUUGGGAAAAGAUGAACAUAAAAGGACUGUUGGAGAAUUUGUGGUUGCAGAUGCUCGUGCUAAAGCGGUUAAAGGAUUAGUUGAGCUUGUUUGUGGCAAUCUUGGAUCAGCUGAGUCAUUAUUCCAAGGAUUUCAUGACAGUGAGGGUUAUUUUGGAAAUGCUGCUUUAUCAUAUGGAGAGUUCUUGCAUGCCACAAGGAACUUCUCAUUGGCAAAGGAUGUGUAUCACAAAGUUAUUAAUGAGGUGGCUGAAAACAAAGACUUUUCUGGCAUGCAUGCCUUAGCAUCUUGUAAUAUGGCAUCAGAGGAAGUUCUGUUGGCAGCCAUCUGUGCCUUGGGGCAGCUUGAGGCACAUAUGGGGAAAUUUAGUGAUGCAGAGGAGACAUUGACGAAGGCAUUGAAUAAGGCAGAACAACAUUUUGGUUCUCGGCAUCCCAAGGUUGGUGUAGUUUUAACCUGUCUGGCUCUCAUGUUUCGGCAAAAAGCAGUACAAGAGCGUUCAAGUUCUCUUUUAAUACAGGAGGGACUUUAUAGGAGGACAAUAGAUUUGUUGAAAGCCCCACCACUGGACUCUGAAGGUAUGGGAAAAAUUUUUGUUGAUACUAACCCUCCUGUUCAAAUUGUUGAUGCAUUUCUUUCUGAUUGCAUAGGCAAUGUAACUAUGGGAAGUUCAAGUAGAAGGGAUGUUGUUGCCCUUGCACGAGGUGGGUAUGCUGAAACACUUUGUGUUCAACAGAACAGGGAGAGAGAAGGAGAAAGGAUGAAAAGGUGGGCAGAGGCAGCUUGGAAGAACAAUCGCUUUUCACUAACUGAGGCACUGAAAACCUCAGAAUCCUCCAACAAAUUGCCAGUCAUAGAUGCUCGAAUUGGUAGAGUCGUGUAGUCUCUCUUUUGCCAGGGGCACCAGCAGUUCAAUGUUAGUUAAUAGUACAUCAGAAGGAUCUGCCAGAAUGUUCUGACAGUAAAUGCACCCUUUGUUCGCAAGAGGCAAAAAAACAGAUUUUCAAGUAGUACACCACAGCUAGCUACGUGUGGACUCGCCCUGGAGGCAUGACUUUGUGGUGCUAUGUAGCACUUUGUGUUGUAUCGACUUGUAGAUUAUCUCUGUUUGUUGCACAAUCCCUUUGCAAACAAGUUAUGUUGGCUAGAGCCUAGAGGAUCAUGGAGUUUGCAAUAAUGCGAGAAAAUCUCUCUCCUCUUCCCCUUCCCCUACUCUUGACAAGUCAACCAUUUCACAUAUUUAUAUGAACGUUGUGAGAGAAAUCACAAUGCUUAUUUUGCUGAUGUAAGGUUAUUAAACUGUUAAGGUUAUAAUCAUUGUCAGAUUCAUCUGGAAUAUUGUUUUGCAUCCUGAAAGUGGUGUUUGUUUUUCUUUUUUCAUUUUUUUAAAAUAAUUUUUUGUACGAGAAUUUGAUUAAUGCUACAGUUGUGCUGCAGCUGCUACAACCAGAUAUUCUGGAGGAUCACUCUGAAGUUUGCACUGUGAAAUGUGAACGAUUUGCAACUAACAAAACUAUAGGCAUAAUCUAGAAAGUAGACCAAGU